rnacentral:rRNA from 1 species
UACAGAGGUCUCAAGCGUUGUUCGGAUUCAUUGGGCGUAAAGGGCGCGUAGGUGGCGCCGUAAGUCAGGUGUGAAAUCUCGGGGCUCAACCCCGAAACUGCACUUGAUACUGCGGUGCUCGAGUACUGGAGAGGAGAUUGGAAUUUACGGUGUAGCAGUGAAAUGCGUAGAUAUCGUAAGGAAGACCAGUGGCGAAGGCGAAUCUCUGGACAGUUACUGACACUGAGGCUCGAAGGCCAGGGGAGCAAACGGG